AAAACAGAACAGAAAGGAGGAGAU
rnacentral:piRNA from 1 species